CUGUUUCAUUUUGCACAAGAUUUGGAACGCGAUCCAGUCCGUUCCAAAUUGUUUGACAGCUGUUGUUUGUUUUGGUUUCGCUGCAUAUUCGCGAAAACUUUCGUUGCAGUUUAUCGUUUAAUUUCGGAUCGCGCGUGAUAUCGGUUUGUAUUUGUUGCUGUUUUCCUGCCCCGGACCGGGGAAAAUCCAAUCAAUAUCAUCAGCGGAAGAUUGCCCGGUUCGGAAUGAAAUUAUCAACCACUUCGCUUCUUAUCAGUUCUAGAACAGAACGGUACCGUUGGAUCAAGAGCUGGGCGAUCGCAACAUCAGAUGACCAUCAGAAGCUUUCGAGAGGAAACAAGCUGGAACCGGAAUGGGAAGAGCUUUGCAGGUGUAUUUUUACUCUGGCCGUGACGGCGGAGGCGGAUGACGAUUAGGCACAGCUUUGGAUUAUUCCACAAAGAAGUUGUUUGGGGAGGCCAAUGGAUAACCGUGCUGAAACUGGAAGACAAUGUACGGCAUAUGAAUAAAUAGUGCGCUAAUCAAGUGUAGUAGGAUAGUCUAUAAACAUUGUGCUGGAAACGCUCUCAUCGAAAAUGAUCGUUUGGUUCCGCAGAUGACAUAGGGUAAAACAUGGUUAUUCGAGGGAGAUAUUUUCAUUAUCCUCUAGCAUAUUUUACGGGAAUUCAUGUAGCAGUUCCUCCGGUAAUUUAUAAAGAGGUUCCUCCGGGAAUUCAUGUGGGAAUUUCUCCAGGAAUUCCUGUGAGGGUUCCUCCGCGAAGUCUUGUAGGAGUUCCUCCGGAAAUUGCUCCACGAGUUGCUCUGGGAAAUGUUUAGGGAGUUCUUCCGGAAAUUGAUCCUAGAGUUCCUCGGCAUUUUCUUCAU